rnacentral:rRNA from 1 species
UCUGUAGCCGGCCAAGUAAGUCCCUUGGGAAAUCUGGCAGCUCAACUGUCAGGCCGCUAGGGGAUACUGUUUGGCUUGGGACCGGGAGAGGUGAGAGGUACCUUGGGGGUAGGGGUGAAAUCUUGUGAUCCUCGAGGGACCACCAGUGGCGAAGGCGUCUCACCAGAACGGGUCCGACGGUAAGGGACGAAAGCUAGGGGCACGAACAGGAUUAGAUACCCUGGUAGUCC